rnacentral:rRNA from 1 species
UACAGAGGUCCCAAGCGUUGUUCGGAUUCACUGGGCGUAAAGGGUGCGUAGGCGGCCGGGUAAGUCUGAUGUGAAAUCCCGCAGCUUAACUGCGGAACUGCAUCGGAUACUCUCCGGCUAGAGGAAUGGAGGGGAAGACUGGAAUUCUCGGUGUAGCAGUGAAAUGCGUAGAUAUCGAGAGGAACACCAGUGGCGAAGGCGAGUCUCUGGACAUUUCCUAACGCUGAGGCACGAAGGCCAGGGGAGCAAACGGG